GACGCUGGCGGCGUGCCUAAUACAUGCAAGUCGAACGAGGUAGCAAUACCGAGUGGCGAACGGGUGAGUAACACGUAGGUAACCUGCCCUUAAGCUUGGGAUACCCAGAGGAAACUUUGGCUAAUACCGGAUAACAACAGAGAAGGCAUCUUCUUUGCUUGAAAGGCCCCUUCAAGGGUCACUUAAGGAUGGACCUGCGGCGCAUUAGCUAGUUGGUGAGAUAACAGCCCACCAAGGCGAGGAUGCGUAGCCGAACUGAGAGGUUGAUCGGCCGCAUUGGAACUGAGACACGGUCCAAACUCCUACGGGAGGCAGCAGUAAGGAGUUUUCGGCAAUGGGGGAAACCCUGACCGAGCAACGCCGCGUGAGCGAUGACGGCCCUAUGGGUUUAGUAAAGCUCUGUUGUAAGCCAUGAAUGAUAGCUUGAGGAAAUGCAAGCUAUUUGACGACAGCUUACCAGAAAGCCACGGCUAACUACGUGCCAGCCGCCGC
rnacentral:rRNA from 1 species